rnacentral:rRNA from 1 species
GAUGAACGCUGGCGGCGUGCUUAACACAUGCAAGUCGAACGAUGAAGCUGGAGCUUGCUCUGGUGGAUUAGUGGCGAACGGGUGAGUAACACGUGAGCAACCUGCCCCUGACUCUGGGAUAACAGCCGGAAACGGCUGCUAAUACCGGAUAUGCACCAUGAACGCAUGUUCUGUGGUGGGAAAGAUUUUUCGGUUGGGGAUGGGCUCGCGGCCUAUCAGCUUGUUGGUGAGGUAAUGGCUCACCAAGGCGUCGACGGGUAGCCGGCCUGAGAGGGUGACCGGCCACACUGGGACUGAGACACGGCCCAGACUCCUACGGGAGGCAGCAGUGGGGAAUAUUGCACAAUGGGCGAAAGCCUGAUGCAGCAACGCCGGGUGAGGGAUGACGGCCUUCGGGUUGUAAACCUCUUUUAGCAGGGAAGAAGCGAGAGCGACGGUACCUGCAGAAAAAGCGCCGGCUAACUACGUG